rnacentral:rRNA from 1 species
AACGUAGGAGGCGAGCGUUAUCCGGAUUUACUGGGCGUAAAGCGCACGCAGGUGGCUGUGCAAGUCGGACAUGAAAGCUCCUGGCUUAACUGGGAGAGGUGGUUCGAAACUGCAUGGCUUGAGGUUGGGAGAGGGACGUGGAAUUCCCGGUGUAGUGGUGGAAUGCGUAGAUAUCGGGAGGAACACCAGUGGCGCAAGCGGCGUCCUGGCCCACACCUGACGCUGAGGUGCGAAAGCGUGGGGAGCAAAC